rnacentral:rRNA from 1 species
AUGCAGGCCACAGUGCUAAGCAUUGGCAAGUCCAUGCUGAAUGGAGCACUUAGCUACGGCAAAUCUGUUGUGGCAGGGGAGGUGGCUUUGCAGCUUGGAGUGCAGGGUGAUCAUGCUUUUAUCACGGACGAGGUUGAGAUGAUGCAAGCUUUCCUGGAGGCUGCACAUGAGAAGCGAGAUGACCAUAAGGUGGUCAAGACCUGGGUGAAGCAAGUCCGCAAUGUUGCCUACGAUGUUGAGGACUCCCUGCAGGAUUUCACUGUUCGUAUUGAAAAUUAUUCCUGGUGGCGCAUCCGCACGUUGCUCGACUGGCGCUGUGUGGCCAAGGAGAUGAAGGAUCUUAGAGUCAAAGUGGAGGAUGUAAGCCAAAGGAACGUGCGCUACCGCCUCAUCAGGCGCUCUGGCUCCAAGCCUACCUCCAAUGAUGAACAAUCUACCGUCAGCACCGAAGUACAAAUCCAGAUCGAUGAGGCUACACGUGUUUCACUGCAGGGCAAGCAAAAGGUAGAUCUGGUCAAACCUAUUACUCAAGAUGAUGAUGUUCCUAGUGCGAUUGCAGUGUGGGGAGCAAGCAGCGAUGUUGGGGUGGCGUCCAUCAUUAGGUCUGCCUAUAAUAAUGAAGAUGUAAAAUCCAAGUUUGAGUGCCGAGCCUGGAUGAGGCUCACACAUCCCUUCAAUCCAAAUGACUUCUUUGCAAGCUUGGUGAGGCAGUUUUACAAUGUUAAAAGAACAGGGGUGCAUGUUUUGAAGCAUAUGGAAGCACCAAAUAAUUUGGUUGAUGAAUUCAAUCGAUUUGUCACAGACAACAGAUACCUGGUCGUUAUUAACGAUGAGUCUACUAUAGAAGAGUGGGACUGGAUCAAAACAUACUUCCCAAACAACAAAGGAAGCCAAAUUAUUGUGUCCACUCAGCAAUUUGAAGUUACACGUUUAUGCACUGAGCAGCCUUACAUGCUAUCUGAGAUAGAGCAAAACUGGUCAAUCGACAAGGAAUUUUUUGCCUUCUAUGAAAAGGUAAACAUCCCCGUCCACAAAAUUAAAGAGCGAGUUGUACACAUGCAUAAUUGUGGGAUGAAUUGA